rnacentral:rRNA from 1 species
AACGAACGCUGGCGGCAGGCUUAACACAUGCAAGUCGAGCGAGACCUUCGGGUCUAGCGGCGGACGGGUGAGUAACGCGUGGGAACGUGCCCUUCUCUACGGAAUAGCCCCGGGAAACUGGGAGUAAUACCGUAUACGCCCUUUGGGGGAAAGAUUUAUCGGAGAAGGAUCGGCCCGCGUUGGAUUAGGUAGUUGGUGGGGUAAUGGCCCACCAAGCCGACGAUCCAUAGCUGGUUUGAGAGGAUGAUCAGCCACACUGGGACUGAGACACGGCCCAGACUCCUACGGGAGGCAGCAGUGGGGAAUCUUAGACAAUGGGGGCAACCCUGAUCUAGCCAUGCCGCGUGAGUGAUGAAGGCCUUAGGGUUGUAAAGCUCUUUCAGCUGGGAAGAUAAUGACGGUACCAGCAGAAGAAGCCCCGGCUAACUCCGUGCCAGCCGCCGCAGUAAGAC